UUGAACGCUGGCGGCAGGCCUAACACAUGCAAGUCGAGCGGAUGAAGGGAGCUUGCUCCUGGAUUCAGCGGCGGACGGGUGAGUAAUGCCUAGGAAUCUGCCUGGUAGUGGGGGAUAACGUCCGGAAACGGGCGCUAAUACCGCAUACGUCCUGAGGGAGAAAGUGGGGGAUCUUCGGACCUCACGCUAUCAGAUGAGCCUAGGUCGGAUUAGCUAGUUGGUGGGGUAAAGGCCUACCAAGGCGACGAUCCGUAACUGGUCUGAGAGGAUGAUCAGUCACACUGGAACUGAGACACGGUCCAGACUCCUACGGGAGGCAGCAGUGGGAAUAUUGGACAAUGGGCGAAAGCCUGAUCCAGCCAUGCCGCGUGUGUGAAGAAGGUCUUCGGAUUGUAAAGCACUUUAAGUUGGGAGGAAGGGCAGUAAGUUAAUACCUUGCUGUUUUGACGUUACCAACAGAAUAAGCACCGGCUAACUUCGUG
rnacentral:rRNA from 1 species